CCCGACUUCAAGGUACAGAACCUUCUAUCAUGUCCCUCAUCUUCAUGCAGGAUCUUCUUCCCUUUUUGUUGCUGGAGAACAAAAUGACCUCCUCCUGCUAACUCCUGGACCUUUCUUUAGUCCAUCUCUCUGAGCUAUGAGGGCAGCAGAAGCUCCUGUAUCCUGCUGUGAUGCGACAACACCCAUCCCAGUGGGCAGGGGCUGGGUCCCUCAGUGUGAAGAAGUGGCAGAGGAGAGCUAGCUAGAAGGGCUGGAAAGGCAGUGUACUGGGGAACCCUCCUGCCAUAAUAAGGGCAGUAACUGCUCUUGUAUACCAACCAAACAGAAACUGAAAACUAAUAAAGCCAACAGUAAGUUACUUUCAAGAUCAGAAAACAGGUUUACAGUUUGUAAGAGUGCCAUGGAACACGAACUACCUCACAUUUUUUAGGGUCGGUGGAGGAAUCUGUCUUUGUCACCUACAAAGAUCAACUUGGGUGAGAAGCCGAGGCUCCAAAACCAGCUCCUACACAUGAUGCUAUUAAAGCAUGUUUCUCAGUUCCAUAUGGAUAUUGACAAUGCAAAUGGAUUCGAAAUAGGUUUGUCCGUCAGUAAGAGAAAAGAGUCUCAUUUUCCCUUUGAGCCCAAGAAACAGUGAGACACAAUGAGCUUUUUUCUAUUUGAAGAGGUUUUAUUAUUACUUUCUGAGCUUUCAAAUUUUUUGAAGAGUUUGUCUUUUUGUAAAAUGUUAGAGGAUUUCCACAGUAGUUUUUAUGGGUUGAGUGUCUAAUUAUUUCUCAUUUCUAAGUUUCACAGAUAGGAAUCUCAGCUCACAGAAAGAUUAAAUCCACAACAUGCUCUGUCUCGCACUGGAGUUCCCCAGGCUUGAGCUGGGAGCUCAACCUUGUGCUGCAUGGAAAUGCAUGAAAAAAGAUCUGUGUUCUAAGGAAACAAAGUUCCAGGCUGGGACAACAUAGUCAAUAAGACAAAGACCCAGCCAUCACUGGUCAUCUGGGUGACUUGGACUGUAAGGACUUGAAUGAAAUCUACUGCCAAAAUGCCUCCGGGAAAGAUGAAUUCUGCUACAGAUUUCCUAUCACUCUGAAUGGGUAUUUUAUUGCCACCUGACUUUAAAACAGACAUUUAGCCUCUUGCUUUAUCUGAAAUUGGCCAGGUGAACUGUACUUCAGAAGUGCCUAACGUGCUCCAUAAAGGAAAAGGCAACCCAGGUGACCAGCAUGGACUGACACUACGAUGCUAUAAAGAUAGGUUUUACUAACUUCCGUGCUGGCAGAUGCUCACAUCUCCAGCAGGGAGGCCAAACCUCUGAUGACAACUCUCUUCUUCUGGUCAAAAUGUCAUCUCUAGCAUCUGCUACCUGACCCUAACUGCAGAAGAGGUAAAUAUCAAUUUUAUGUCAUUUUGAUCCUCAGCUCUAGCAUUGCAAAGGAGGAGUGAGAAAACAGACCUGCUAUGUGGAAUGUAGGCAUGGCAAUUGCAAUUUCACAGCAAAUAGUUCUAUUAUUAGUGCUUCUUUAAGGAGUGACAGAUUUGUCUUGGGAAUUUCUUCUUUGCUGUCUUUGUUUCCUCUAAGGUCUGUAUAGUCCAGCAGAAUCAAUCUACUAAAAGAUCUGAUAGACCUAAAAAUGAUGAAAUAUCAUCCUCAUUCGUACCUCUUCCUCCUGUUUAUGAAAAGAGCCAAAGGAGUAAAGGAAGUGCAGGGAGUUUUAGUCCCUCUGUCGUGGGCAGAUCAGGAUCAUAAUGCGUUUACUGGAAUCACCUUCAUGCUAAAACAACAGAGGACAAAUCUCCGCACUCACAGCAUUAUAUUGCACCCACUCAUUUGCUACAAGCAGGAAGAAAUUAAACAUGCAAUAACAUUUUGUUCAAAUAUAAAUGCUUUCAACUUUUAUGAUGUUAACUGUUUGAAAAAAUAUUUUUGAUAACAGCACUGUUUUUGUUUCACAGAUCUCUCCCCUUGUAAGCAUCAAUCCCUCACAAUACUGAACAUAAGCUCUGCAUGCAAAAAAAUUAUAAACAAGUUAACAAAGCCUAAGUUUAUUAGAAACCACAUCUACUUUCAUUUGAAAGUGGGUUUGUUAGCCUCAUCUGUAAGAGGGUAGUGACUGAAAGAAAAAGCAAUAAAGUGAGUAAAUUCUAAAUUGCUCAAAUUUAAAUUUGGUGAGUCCAUCCUACCUGGUCUGUCUUGUUGUGCAAGUCAGCAACAGAGUGUCGAAGUUUAACCUAGCAGAGGAGGGGAGUUCCCUUUUUCUUUACUAAAACUGCUCCUGUUCUCAGCCCAUGACCCUUUUUUUCAUCAUAUUUCUUUCCACCCCCCCCCCCCCCCGUACUUUUGAGGAAGGGGAAGUGAGAGAACAGCAUGAUGGAGUUGGGCUUGACCACCCUUGGCACAGUCAAGAAUCACACUCAGAUUAGCAGCAUGAAGGGCCACCAAAGUAUCACCAGAUUAACUAGGAUACUCUCUCCAUUCUUCCCCCCAUCAUACAAUUAGGAAAGUAUUUUUUGUUUUGUUCUUUCAUUUAUGUUUUGUACUUUGGUCUCUCAAUUCUCAUUUUUUCAUGGUUUGUCCCCAUCUUUCAGCUUCAUUCACUGGAAUGGCAGAUUUUUCUAACUCAUGCAAGAUGCUUUCCUCCAGAAUGGGAUUUCGUUUAGAGAAAACUCUCAGAGAUAAGACAGUUACCACGUUCCACAAGGUUACUAUUACAGUUGCUUUCCACAUCUUCCUCCUCUGACACCCCUGGCUAGUGUGUCCCCUGUUUACACCUUCUCACCAACAAGCUUUGGUCUUUGUUCUGAUCUGGUGAGUCAUUCAUUUCAAUACAGCACAACAAUCAUUUAAAUCUUUAUUUAGAUGUUUAAGUUUCUUUUUUUUGUUUUGUUUUUAAGUUUUUUUCUCAUAUCUACACAGACCACUUUUCAUAAUUUGUCUUUUCUGCUUGUGUUCUCUCUCUACCCAAGAAGAUUCCCAGCUGUCCUUGCUAGUUUGGGCAGUCAUUUCUUGCACUAAAACUUUUUUCUCAGGGCUGGCAUCUCCACUGUACAGCAGCUGGAAUGCAAGUUCCAUUUCAGAUCACACACCUUCUCCUGGAAUGGACCUGGCUUUCUGAUGAAUAGCUUCUCCAUUAUCCCCUAAAGGCUCUCAGUGUUUUCCCCAAAGAGAUCUUAUCCCCACUGUUGUACUGCUUCCUUCUUGCACUGCCUUAAAGCUUGCUUUUAUUUCCCAGAGGUAUUUUCAAGCUGAGGUAGGCACUGAUAUUAAGAAGUCAUACUAAUCUCUUUUUUUCUACACAGCAUGAACUUUCAACCUCCAAAUUUGUUAUCUAAAACCUGCACUGAAAUCUCUUUUUCCCUUGUUCCUCUCCAAAACAUGUAGUGUUCUGAUAUGAUAAUUAGCAGUAAACCACGGUACACUGGGGUAAAAGAUUGAAUCAUCUUGUAAAAGGAACAGUGCCUGCUCUGCUUUCCCAUCCAUGUAGUUAUGGAGAUUCCUUUCACUGCACUGUCUAGAAGAGUACAGCACAGAUCAUAAGCAGCUCUCCACUGAGGGAAUAUGAGAACCACAACCAGGACCUAGACUACUAGAUCUAAUGCCAUAAAGACUUUCCCUUUUUCCAUAUUUUGUCAGUUUUAGAAUCUGGUUCCUUUUCCUCCUACCCAAUUCCACCUACCCAAGAAUUCAGCUAGGCACCUGGCACACAAAAUGCUUCUUUCAUGCUACCCUUUUAAAAAUACUUUUAUACCCCAUUAAAUAUUAUGUAAACAAGGAACAUUGUCUUUCUGUGUGAUAGGCAGUACUUAGAAUUAAAAUCUGUUAUGUCUAAAAGCACAGUGUGAGAAAUUAUACAGCCACCACAUAUAUGUGAACAAAUUUUAAAUCCACAUAUGUACAUACAUGGGCACAUGCACACUCAUGCCCUACAUCUUCAUCUUCAUGAAAGCAUUUAAAAUAAAUCCUGAACAUCCACAUUUGGAGUAUAAAAAAAUGUACUGAAAACUAGUGUGCCACCUAAAUUGUUCACUAAGAGUGAAAGGAUUAAAAGCUUCAUACCAUGUUUAUAAAAUCCAAUCUUUUUGUCUCUGCUCUGCCCAUCCCAUAUCGUAAGAUAAUGAAUAGUUCCAUAGCAACAAUAGUCUACCACUAAACCAUUACCUUGAUUUCAAUUACUGGGCAGAAAGAACACAUACAAUAGAAAUACCAGUUCUAAACAAUGAUUUAAAUAGAAUGAUCCAGAGUACAUUUUUUAUCUGAAAAUUAGUAUGUUUAUAAUUUUAUCAUUGAGAGGCAGAACAUUAUAGUUAAUUAAAUAAUGUUGUCUUUAGGCCACAAAUCUCGUUUAAGCAAUAAUAAAGUCUUUGAACCAAGGUAUUGCUUUAACACUGAUGCAGAGUUCCAAUUGCUAAUGGCUCUCACACUAUCCAGCAAAAUACAAGGAGGGAUCCAGCUGUCAGGAUCAUCAAGAAGAGAGCAGCAACAUGUAUUAAACUGACUUAAAAGAGAAUUCUUUUUCUGGUGAGAUUUGGCCAUCUCUCAUCUGUACUUUUUCCUAAAAUAUGCAUCUAUGUGUUAUUCUUAGUCUCUCCUACAAGACUUGAAAAAGCAUAAGCAAAUUACUAUUUCAGUUACAGUCAUUCUGUUGCCUUGAGAUCCAGGGGGUCCAGUUCUCAGUUACAGUUAUAUCCUUUAAACCACUUUGCAAGGUAGUGAGCUUCUACAACCAUUAAACGUGUACAAAUGACCCCUUCCCCCUGAGAAUGACCUUUGUCUAAGGUCCUGGAGCAGGACCAGGACAAACCAACCCGAGCAUCCCUCUUCCCACUGCCAUGGGGAGACAACACAAGCUGUGGCAGGAGGUACAUCACACAGAGCAUGAUGAUCCAGAGCUAUCACUUAGUUUCUAGGCUUCAUGCAGAAUGGUUUAUAAAUGUACAGCAUCCUUAAAGGUCACUGAGAAAUAAAAAAUAAAUGUUAACAACAACAACAACAAGGCAGAAAUCGUACCUUACAGUGACAAAAGCAUCAGUGGUAUUUCAUUUGCAAGUUUGAGGCUUUCUCUGUGUUCCUAAAGGGAUAAAAACAUGGCAUCUAUUCACUAGAGUUUCUCAUAGCUUCCUGGUUAUUUCCCAGAGCAGGGUACUAUACAGUAUUUUGGUAUAAAUCUGACUGCAUGUCAUAAAGCUUCAGGAGAGAACUUUGCCAGGGAUUAGAAUUAGCAGAAAUUAGAAGUGAUCAAAGUGAUGGUUUUUUUUUUUUUCCCAAUAUUGCACUUAACAAGGGAAUUCAAACAUUUGGAUCUUUCCAUUCAAACUGAAGAAUUUCAGUUCAGCAAAAAUGAAAAUGCUUCUUUUAUUUUGAGCUAUUACCAGUAUUUCAAAAGAAAUCUAGUUCAGUUUAUACAUAAAUGCUUUUAAACUAAUAAAUAUUUAAACAUCUGUUUUUGAAACGUGUGGUAAAACUCAAUUAAAGUAACACAAACUCCUGAAAUAUUUAGGUUAACUAAGGCAUGUUUAUAUUGAAAAAGAAACCUCAAGAGAGUAGCAAAUGUGUAUUUUAAGGGGCACAGGACUUAAAAUCAUGAGAGACUGUCUCUAAAGUGCAUGACUUCCUUUCUGGCAGGAUGAGGUUUAUCCCAUGCAAUUCUUCCCUGACACAAAGCUGGGGGAUUGGAUGGGCAGCCAGCAAGCGAGCUGCUGUGGCAGCAGGGAGCACCACCAUCUCCAAGGUACACCAUGCUCCUCCAAGCUCUGUCUGAAUGCAAGAAGCUCCCAGGACAGAGCUGAAACCAAGAUGUUCUCCUUCAGCUGCUGCAGGGAGACGUGCAAGAGUGAGGUGACUCUGUCUACAAGUGUUUGCUGUGAGAAACUUAGAACUGCAAAGGAAUGUGAAUUCUAGGGAGGGGAGUCAGAAAGGAAUAGUCUUUACAUAAUGACAGACAUCUGUGUAAUUUGCCAAAAACCCACAAGAUUUUUGUCUUCUGUAACAGGGGAGGAUGUUACUCCCUAAAAUAUGUCAACAGGUGAGAAUUCUUGCCAACUUAACAACAGCAAAUUACAUAAGUGAUUAGGAAAAAAAUAAUUUCCAGUAAAACUAGAUAUAUUGCUACUGCAUCUAGUGAAAUCUCUGCACUGUCAUUUUAGCAGCUCUUCUCAGCAAUUCAGAGUAUUUCCACUUGAUGGCACCAAAUUUUUUUUUUCCAACUUCAAAGAAUCCUUUAACAAAAGAGAUGCUGAAUUGCAAAGAAAUAAUCAGGACAAAUGCAUGUUUUUCUUUCUGAGCACAUUUCUUAAAAAUCUGGAGGUGUUUUUGUUGUUGUUGUUGUUCUUGUUCUUGUUUUUGUUUUUUUUUUUUAAUAAGGAAUACAGUGAAUUUGAUGCGGUGGCUUUGUCUCUUCUAUUUGACCAUGACCACACAGUCAUUUGAGCUACUUACUUUUCUUCUCUGCUUAGAGUGUAUCUCCAUUCAGUGAAGGUUGUGUUGUCAUAUUGUUAUAAAGUAGGCUCCUGAAUAUGGAUGAAUCAUGCAUUUUAAAAUAAAUUUUGUUUCUGUCCCUAUCUUUGAAACUCGUCCUUUGCUUAUCUUAAAAAUGAAGGGCACUCAAACAGAUUAUCACAAAAUAAAAGGCAAGUUUUUAAGGGUUGAAUAUUAAUUUUGACUCAUAUUCUAAACUGUCUGUUGCUUUUCAAUAGUAAUAUCUGAUGAGCAGUUCUCAGUAAAGUAACUACUGUAAAAACAACUUCUAUAAGCUUUACUUGUAUGUUAUAUACAGGCAGUAGAAACACAAACAAGCAAAAAUGUAGUUUAAGUAGUUGUCCAAUUCUUGGAGAUUUCACAAGCUUUAGACAA